CAGAUUAUAAACGUCUUGUGGGGAGAGACCGUUUCUCUCUCUUCUGUAUCUCAUGGUUCAAUCUUAAGCAUAGUUGUGUGUUUUCUUACUUGUUGGAAAGAGGGUGAUGUGCUGGAGCCCAGAGAGCACAUGGAGCCUCAUAACAUUUCCCUGAAACAUUCCAGGCAGUAAAAGCGUAAAGGUAAAUGAUAGUUCCGAACACAGAAGAAUCCCGUAUUUGGCUGGACAGGCCAGGGUCCUCUGGAAGUUUCUGAGAUGGUAAUAAGAAAUAUUUAUAGCUAUAGGCAACACCUUUUUCCACAAACAGUAUUUCAAAGAAACUAUACGUAUUCCAGGUUCUCACCAGAUCCGUGUUAAAUUAGAGCACUGCUGAGGAAUUUAGGCGAUUUAAAAUUUUAUUCUUUCUUGUUGCUGCUUUUGUUGUUUUUUUAGUAAGUUCUGCUUCAUUACUGUGUCCUGAACCAAACUUAUCUGGGAUAAUGGUCAUAUUCAAGUGGUACGGAAGUUGGCCUGGGAAUAUUUAGUGCCAUUUUUCAGGCUCUCUUCAAAGAGGAAAAGGAAGAGAGGACCGAGCCACAUCGUGGUAUUGGAAAAAUAUCUUCAUCUCUUUUUCAAACAUUUUGAGCAAGGAUGCCAGCUCAGUGUGUGGCCUGUGCCUGGAGACAAAGGAUGGGAACCCUGCUCAAAAUGAACAUAGAUGAGCUUUCAGACCCAUAAUGAGCACAGUGAUAACAAUAAAAGUGGCCUGCGCGUC